UACGUAGGUGGCAAGCGUUGUCCGGAUUUACUGGGCGUAAAGAGCGCGCAGGCGGUUGGAUAAGUCGAAUGUGAAAGCCCCCGGCUCAACUGGGGAGGGUCAUUCGAUACUGUCCGACUCGAAGGCAGGAGAGGGAAGCGGAAUUCCCGGUGUAGUGGUGAAAUGCGUAGAUAUCGGGAGGAACACCAGUGGCGAAGGCGGCUUUCUGGCCUGUUCUUGACGCUGAGGCGCGAAAGCUAGGGGAGCAAACGGG
rnacentral:rRNA from 1 species